GAAGCGACGAAACAACCAAACAGUCAGUCAGUCUCCCGAAGCCUCCCCGCAUCUCAAUCUCAUCGGCGCCGCCACCCACCCGCCGCCCCGCCUCCCUCCCUCCCGGCAGACCUCGCCGCAUUUCAUUUCAUGGCCUCCGCCCUGUCUCCUCCCCUUCCCUCCCUCACCGAAAGAGUAGAGAAGAGAAGAGAAGAGACGAGAGGCACCGAGCGGUCAGGCGGCGGCCCAGAUCAGUCCGCCACGGUCCGGCCAUGGGGACCGGAGCUCCGAGCGGCCGUCCUUCUCGUCAAGGGCGGGCCUUGCUUCCUCCGUCUCCUUCCUUCCUUCCUUGUUCUCGGCCAUGCCGAGAAGCAAGGAGGAGGAUCUGCCCUACGGAAGGAAGGAAGAAGCCGCCGGUGCCGGCGAGCACAAGGAAUCGACGGGGACGGCUGCUCCUCCCAAGGGAAAACUAUCAACAUCCUGAAGGUGAUAGGUUUCUGGGCUGGUAGCGACACUCGCUCAGACGCUCACAGACCAGACCUGUGUAGGUACGCUGGGGUCACCCUGGAAGUCUGAAGGCACUAGGUGAUGAUGAUGCAGUGGGUAAUAAUCACUCUACUUCUGGCCGCAUCCCUCCUAUUGUUGAGAUGACAAUGAUCUUUAUUUUGAGAACUGGGAUGGUGAUUAUGAUGCUGGUGGUAGAGAGUCAAAGCUCUGAUGAUUCUGGUUGUGAGGCGCACAAGAGAAAGUGUGGUGUGCGCGGCGGAGAAGGCACCCAACAUUACCAGCGAGUCUGUCAACCUGCGCCGGUGCUCACUUGAGGCCUCCCACCCUGCCCCUCCGGUGGCCUCUUCUUCUUCGACCGGCACUAGGUGAUGAUGAUCCACUGGGUAAUAAUCACUCUACGUCUGGCCGCGUCCCUCCUAUUGUUGAAAAUGACGAUGAUCUUGAUUUUAUGAACUGGGAUGGCGAUGCUGAUGCUGGUUGUAGAGAGUCAAGCUCUGAUUAUUCUGGUUGUGAGGCGUUGGAUAAUCGGGUUUGAGAGGCUGACUGACACUCAGCCAGAGCUAUACGUCCACAUUGUCCCUGACAAGGCCACAACCAAACUAACGUUUACCGAAAGCAGUAUUGGUAUCCCUCACUGUAGAGGAAGCUCUGUCCAACACUGGAGGCGGUUCAAAGACGUCAGCAUCUGCA